CAGUCGCCACGGUAAUACAGAGGGUGCGAGCGUUAAUCGGAUUUACUGGGCGUAAAGCGUGCGUAGGCGGCUUCUUAAGUCGGAUGUGAAAUCCCUGAGCUUAACUUAGGAAUUGCAUUCGAUACUGGGAAGCUAGAGUAUGGGAGAGGAUGGUAGAAUUCCAGGUGUAGCGGUGAAAUGCGUAGAGAUCUGGAGGAAUACCGAUGGCGAAGGCAGCCAUCUGGCCUAAUACUGACGCUGAGGUACGAAAGCAUGGGGAGCAAACAGGAUUAGAUACCCAGUAGUCCCUGUCUCUUAUACA
rnacentral:rRNA from 1 species